UACCUUGAGAAUUAUGAAGAG
rnacentral:piRNA from 1 species